CCCUGUCCCUGUCUCCCCACACCCUGGCCACCCCGAUGCAAGCAGCUGUGCCCCGCACCCCCACGUGCUCCCUGCUACAGUGUCUCCCUCACCUGGACCAACUGGAGCCUGGGGACCUGGGCUGAGAGCACUGAGCCAGCAGAGCAUCUCCUCCUUUAUGGUGACAUCCUUGGGUGCUUGGUCUCGGCGGGCGUCACCACCACACCCUCAGCGGAGCAAGGAAGGGCCAGGGCUCUCUCGGAGCUGUGGGGCAGCUGAGUUCUUCUGUCAAGAAAGUAACGAAAACACAGAACUCCAGAAGGGAGAGAUAAAGUCACGAGCAGUUCCACAACCAGAGGAUGUCAUCCACAUGGAAUCCCACAGCGUGAAGCCUUUGGAAUUGGCCCUGAGAUUCAUCCAAAGUGCAGAGCACAUCCG